GACGAACGCUGGCGGCGUGCCUAAUACAUGCAAGUAGAACGCUGAAGGAGGAGCUUGCUUCUCUGGAUGAGUUGCGAACGGGUGAGUAACGCGUAGGUAACCUGCCUGGUAGCGGGGGAUAACUAUUGGAAACGAUAGCUAAUACCGCAUAAGAGUAGAUGUUGCAUGACAUUUGCUUAAAAGGUGCACUUGCAUCACUACCAGAUGGACCUGCGUUGUAUUAGCUAGUUGGUGAGGACGGCUCACCAAGGCGACGAUACAUAGCCGACCUGAGAGGGUGAUCGGCCACACUGGGACUGAGACACGGCCCAGACUCCUACGGGAGGCAGCAGUAGGGAAUCUUCGGCAAUGGACGGAAGUCUGACCGAGCAACGCCGCGUGAGUGAAGAAGG
rnacentral:rRNA from 1 species